ensembl:lncRNA
GUAGUUUUUUUUUUUUUUUUCACAGAAAGUCAAAUUCGAGCACAUGCACAUGUAGAAAAGUUAAAACAAAAAUCAUAAAUGUGACAUCAAAAUACAUACUACGGAUAUGUACAUACAUACACAGUGAGUGCUUUGUGCAAAUGUAUAGAGAUUAUGUUCAUUGUGUUUUUAAAUGAUACAUUGGCUAUGGUUAACGUGCACAAAUUACAAACAUCAAACCAAAUGGCACACCGACCGAUUGAAAAGUAAAACAAAAGAAAUAAAACACAAUAACAUCUCAGAUCAACAAAUUAAAACUCUUUGGCUUAUUUCAAAUAUAUCAUUCACCCAGUGUGGAAAAUAAAACCUUGGAGUUAAUCUUACAUAGCUAGUUUUCCAUAGCAGUGGAAGAAAAUGAGUGUGCAACUUAAUCACUUAGCGAGUGAAUUACAAACUUUUUUUGCUUGUGAUGACAGUUUGAAUGUGCUUUACACACCCAUUAGUAUUUAAAAAGGAAAAGAAAAAUAUAUAUAUAUAUAUUCUCUGCAAAAAAUAAACAUUUUUAUCUCAUAUACAUUACCCUCCAAUACAUUUCCCUUGUAUAGUUCCUUUAGUGAAAGCCUGGUAAAAGGACUUACUCGGCAGGGGAAAAGACACGCAGGGUCAAACACCAGUUCAGUAAGGUCAAUACUUGUUUCCCUUAAUAUUCACUGAUCUAUUUUGUGCAAUGUUUGUUUGGGGCAUUUGUCUCCCAGUUAGUAUUAUAUGUGAUUAUUCUGCAAGGUUAAGCUGGCGGGGAGUGUGGCUUGUAACACCAGAAUUUCGGGUUUCAUUCCUGGGACUGCACAUACAUGAAAUUAAUGCACUCAUGACUACAUUGCUUUGGAUAAAGACAUCAACUAAAUGGCAUGUGUUAUUACAUUACUUGAAUUAUGUCAAAUUCAGCUCAAAUAGGCUCAGAAAAUCUUUAUCCAUGUCAUGAAAGCUAACAUGCAAACCCUACAGUUGGUAAGGACUGACAAUAUACAGGGACAGAAUUCAAUGAUGAAUAGUGGGAGUUUAUAGGGGAAAGAAGUUGUACUGAAAAGCACGUGCCCACACGCGCACACACGCACACACAAAUGUAGAUGCACAUAUCAGGUGUGAAAAUCACACAAACAAGCAAAGUCAUUCCUUCCUUUUCAUCACUCCUUCUCGUCCUCCAUUUUGACCAGACAGCACAGAGUCCGAGACAGGUUAAUUCAUCCUUUUAUUCCUUUUGAUUUUUGUAUUCAUGACGCAGGUGUUCCAGGUGUGGGUCUUCGAAGACGGGUGGUGUGCCCGUAUCCCUCCCCUCUGCUCGUUAGUUCCCUUUGCAAAAAUAUAGGCCCUUAGUUACCAGUCUUGGUUACGGUGCCCUUUCAAUGCUCAAAACAAAUUGCUACAGUACUCUGUCUCUGAACUCACUGCACAGACAACUGAGAACUAUAAACCAAAUAGGUGGAUGGUUGCAGGUUAUUAUGGUCUGCUCACCAGGAAGAGCAACUAUGGCUUUUCAAAUCUGCCCAAGUCAUAGUCAAUCACACUAAAGAUCAACAUUCCUGUGAUUAAUAAUAUAAACACUGAGUGGAAUUAACAGAUCUUUUCAUUGGCAAACUCACAUUGAAAAUAUACUCUAACUGCGUUGAUUAAUUUCAUAUGCUUAUAUUAUUUAUCUGUGAAAUUGGUCUAAUAGCCCACUUUCUUUUUCCUUGCUCUAAUUGGAUCUCCCUGCAGUUCCACGUAUACCCAAAGCCCAGCUCUAGGAUCACGGCAGACUCUAUCUGAGCCCAAAACAGGAAUCAAAAUGCUGAACUGAACCUAGAUCCUCACCUUUUCUCUUUAAAAGAUAUUCACACAGAUAUACAUUUUGUGUAAGUCACAAAAGUGUCCGAGCUACAUAUUGAUACCCAACAGACCCUUUCUUUCAGAAGUAAAAGCUUGAGUAGAAAAGAGGAAAAGGCAGGAAGAAAGAAACCAUUUGAAAAGCGAGGGAGCAUGGGUAGGAAACCUUGUCCAAAUUAACCUACACAGGAAAUCAGACAGAGAAAAAGAUAAAAGAUAAAAAGCAAGAAAGAAAGCAAAUGGAUAUUUUCUCUGAACAUGAGAUGCAGUUGUAACUGCACACAAAAACGAUUUAUAAUUUCCACAAACACAUCAUCAUCAUUAUCUUCACCAUCAUCAUCCUCAUACAAAACACAAAAAGAAAAAAAAAUGAAAUACAGUCUAUCAUACUUUUUUAGGCACUACAACAAAUUAGCUCUGCGAAAAAAAAUUAACAAAACAUAGGUUGCAUUGCAGCCAAAUAAUUCAAUGAAAGUGGCACAUUUAAAGUACAUUAUUACAGUAGCGCCUAUCUCAAGGAGAGGCUGUGACUGGAGGAAAGGUUAAAUGUCCCACUUCUCAAAACCAGCAUGUCACACCAACCUGAAGGCGGCUGUGAUAAACCCGCAGUUGAAUCUGGAGUCAGUCAAACAAAAUCGUUUUUGUGGCAACAAAUACAUCAGAUAGAAACGUCCUACUAAGUUGAGUUUGCAUGUUAAUAUACAUUAAUAUACAUAACCGGUUGUAAUAUAAACUGGUUCAACUGAUUUCUGUUCCUCAUAGUUCAUGCCAUAAUUACAUAUACACACAGUGGAUAUUAAAAGUCUACACACUCUUAGAAAAUACAGCUUUUGUUUAAGUAAAGGCUGAAAUCGAGAUAAAUAAUGUCAGAAAGGUUUUCACCGUUCAUAACAUCUAUUAACCAACAAUAUUGAAGUGAAAAACAAAUGGUUAAUUUCCCAGAUUUUUUUAAAACAGCAAUGCCUUGAUUGCAGAAGUGUACAGACCCCUAUACUAAUACUUUGUGGAAGCACCUUUUGCUUGAAUUACUGCAGUAAGUCUGUUUGGGUAGGUUUACCAACGUAGCACGCCUUAAUCUAUCAAUGUUUUCCAACUAAUCGUUGCAGUUGAGUUCAAGCUCAUUAAAUUUGUGAGGGGAUCUCCUGUUUGCACAAGAAAUAUCUUAAAAACUGGAGCUAUUCAUUGUCCCCUUCAUCUUGAACAGAGCCCCUGUCCAUUCUGAAAAGAAGCAGCCCCAUAGCAUAAUGCUGCCGCCACCACAUAUGACAGUAGGCACUGUGUAAUUUGGAUAAUAAGCUAAGUUGGCUUUGUGCCAAAUAUAUAUUUCAAAAUUCAUGCCGAAUAUUGUCCUUGGAAGAUGCUGGGUGAAAAAGGAUCUGACAUGAUUUGUAAGGAUUUCACCAUUUACAUAAAAAGCUACAUUUUCAAUAAGGGUGUGCAGACAUUUGAUAUUUACUGUAUUAUCCCUUUAAAAAAAAAAAGAUCUUCAAUUAGUCAAUGGUAGCCUUAAUAAUAUAUGAUUGUCACUCACAGCUAAUGCUUUUUUAAAGUGCAUUCCCAUUUUCAUUAUUACCAAAUAGUCCCUUUAACACCCUACUAUUCCCAUAAACUAUAUCUGGAUGUGCGCUUGUUAAGUGAAUCUACUAUACACCUUAAUACAGAGUGCCACUGUCAUGUAUCUGCUCGGUUUUCUGACCAUGAAGAAUGCUUAAUACAUGUUACAACACAAUUUGGCAGUUCCCAUUGUGGAAGUGUCAGAACACCAUCGAGGGCUGGUCGGGUACACGCUGUGUGCGACACAUUGAGGAGAAAUGUUUUGACCAGUUAAACUCUCGAACAGCCUCUUUAUUUGUUAAACUGGCUUCCUGGAAACGUGGGCCUAAAACGAGGUGUUCUGGAGAUAAGCCCUGUGUGGGGUUUCUAAUUAGUGUCCGGCUUCAGCACAUGCAGUAUAUGAACACUGUAAGCCCUCAUCUAACAGCAGAAACACUUGCAGCUUUUUUCAUUCCCUUUUUCUACCAAGAAUUCUCAGCUUUUUAGCCAUGAUCCUACACUGUCCGUGACUUAAUUAAUUUCCCUUUAGGGUCAGGUGAAAAGGCUACAAUUACAAAGGGAAAAACAAUAUAUGGCACAAACAUUAAUGGUAUAAUAAAAUGAAUUGCAUUAAAAAAUGUGUGUAAUAAAAGAACCACAGCAUCAUCGGUAAUCUAGGUAAAAAAAAAAAAAAAAGCCAUGCUUAAGAUUGUUUCACCUUUUUGUGUUUUUGUUCGAUUAAUGACUUGUUCAUUGACGGUUCUUGUCCUGUAGGCACUUCUUUACAAAUCGAACAAAAUUAAGAACACUAAAAUCAACAACAAAAACCCGGUCCCCCUUCCUCC